rnacentral:rRNA from 1 species
GUGUUACCCGCGCGUGACUUAAGCAUUAUCAAUAAGCGGAGGAAAAGAAACUAACAAGGAUUCCCCUAGUAACUGCGAGUGAAGCGGGAAGAGCUCAAAUUUAAAAUCUGGCGUGCCUCCGGUCGUCCGAGUUGUAGUCUGGAGAAGCGUUUUCUGUGUUGGACCGUGUAUAAGUCUCUUGGAACAGGGCGUCAUAGAGGGUGAGAAUCCCGUCUUUGACACGGACUACCAAUGCUUUGUGAUGCGCUCUCAAAGAGUCGAGUUGUUUGGGAAUGCAGCUCAAAAUGGGUGGUAAAUUCCAUCUAAAGCUAAAUAUAGGCGAGAGACCGAUAGCGAACAAGUACCGUGAGGGAAAGAUGAAAAGCACUUUGGAAAGAGAGUUAAACAGUACGUGAAAUUGCUGAAAGGGAAACGCUUGAAGUCAGUCAUGUCUGCCAGGACUCAGCCUUGCUUCUGCUUGGUGUACUUUCUGGUUGGAUGGGCCAGCAUCAAUUUUGACCGUUGGAGAAAGGCCUUGGGAAUGUGGCACCUUUGGGUGUGUUAUAGCCCUUUGUCGUACGCAACGGUUGGGAUUGAGGACUGCAGCACGCCUUUAUGGCCGGGGUUUUGCCCACGUAUGUGCUUAGGAUGUUGGCAUAAUGGCUUUAAGCGACCCGUCUUGAAACACGGACCAAGGAGUCUAACAUGCCUGCGAGUGUUUGGGUGGAAAACCCAUGCGCGUAAUGAAAGUGAUAGCUGAGAUCCUCUCAUCAGGAGCACCAGCGCCUGGACCUGAUCUACGGAGACGGUUCUACGGUAGAGCAUGUAUGUUGGGACCCGAAAGAUGGUGAACUAUGCCUGAAUAGGGUGAAGCCAGAGGAAACUCUGGUGGAGGCUCGUAGCGAUUCUGACGUGCAAAUCGAUCGUCAAAUUUGGGUAUAGGGGCGAAGACUAAUCGAAUCAUCUAGUAGCUGGUUCCUGCCGAAGUCUCCUUCCAGGAU